rnacentral:lncRNA from 12 species
AAAUGUAUAUGAAGCAAGCCUGAGGAGUCCCCAGGACACAUGGUAGUGAGAAAUAUUGCUAAGGGGACUCCUAUAUCAUGGUUAUAAAGGUAGGGUCUGGGAACACUAAACAAAACUAGAGAUUUCCUUUUAUAUGACCUCACUGCUAACCAACUUAGACCUGGGAAGAUUUGGAUACAUUAAUAGUUACUGGAAAAAAACAGUAAGUAGUAAAAAAAUUAUUUAAAAAAUAGGAAGAGGAGCCAAAGAAGGUGAUUAACUUGAUAAAAAUGGUAAAGAGAAAGUGAUAUGCCACAGCAGCUUGUACAGAGUGGUUAAACUAAGUGCUAUAUCGAGCAGCUUCCAAGCAGAAACCUCCCUGGUCUGACACACAGUGGGGACUCAGAACAAAGAACUGGUUACAGAGAUGAAGAAAAUGAAGAGGAGUCAAACAGAAGGUAAGAGAACCAAAAGGUCAACAACUUUAAGAAGCCCUUUCCAUCCCUAGAAUAGAAAGAACAACGGGAAGAAGCCCAGAAGCUUGAGUAUAUGUUAGAAACCAGAGCUAAUGAGGAGGAACUUUCUCUGGCAUGGGAACUGUGGAAGAAACUCAGCAGCUGCCAGAAGUGCUACUUGAGGCAAAAGCCAGUGAGAAAUUCCCUGGGUUACCAUGUGAUGGCAAUUUCCACCUUGAAUCAGAGCAGUAGGAAAAAAUAACAAAGGAAGAAUCACAAAGAACAUCUGCUGAUGAUAGCAAACGCUAUGGAGGGGCUGGAAUGGAAAAUUCUGGGAACAAGACUGAAGCUUCCCUUAAAAGCUACACAGCACUUUAUGCAUGGAUAUCUUAAAAUUUUUUCUUCAGUCGUCAGUAAAUGGCAAUGAUCUAGAAUGUAGGGCUGCAGUAAGCAAUUUUAGGUAAGCUAAUGGUACAAAAUGACCUGAGACUUCGCAUGUGCUGCCACAAUUUAUAUACAACCAAGAAGUUUUAUGGUACAGCAUUAAAUAAGAAUGGCUUAGCUAGAUAAUGUCUAUACUCCAUGACCUUCACAAUAGCAGCAGAUGUUUUUAUAACUACCAGGAUUGAUUCCUGCCAUUCUCUCCUAUUAGAGCUGCCUUCAAAGGCUUUUCUGUUGCUGCAAUAAGUGCCAGUGCAGCUAUAUUGCUCUGCUUUAAUUAAACUCUUUCAAUUAUAAUCUAAAUCCUACAUGCUUCAUGCCAAUUGCCAAACCUAUCAGCUUUAAUCUGACAUUUCAAAAAACAGAAUUUCAAAUAUCAAAUAUGCAUUCCAUAUUUCUCUCCCUAAAAAAACAUUCAAGCUGUGCCAAUAUUGGGUUUCAGGAUUCAUUUAUUUGAUCAAAAAUUUAGUAAUAAGCUAGUAAAAAAAACUCCAAAGUUUUUGGAACUAGGGAAAUUUUAUUAGGGACUAGAUGUUAGAUGAUAUUGGGAAAUUAUGUUAUUUUUGUUAGGUGUAAUAAUGACAAUGGAUUUGUAGGGAAAAGUCUUUUUUUUUUUUUUUUUUUUAGGAAAUACCAAAUAAAAUAUUUAUAGAUAAAGUGUCA